rnacentral:rRNA from 1 species
GAUGAACGCUGGCGGCGUGCUUAACACAUGCAAGUCGAACGGAAAGGCUCCUGCUUGCAGGGGUACUCGAGUGGCGAACGGGUGAGUAACACGUGGGUGAUCUGCCCUGCACUUCGGGAUAAGCCUGGGAAACUGGGUCUAAUACCGGAUAGGACGAUGGUUUGGAUGCCAUUGUGGGAAGUUUUUUCGGUGUGGGAUGAGCUCGCGGCCUAUCAGCUUGUUGGUGGGGUAAUGGCCUACCAAGGCGUUGACGGGUAGCCGGCCUGAGAGGGUGUACGGCCACAUUGGGACUGAGAUACGGCCCAGACUCCUACGGGAGGCAGCAGUGGGGAAUAUUGCACAAUGGGCGGAAGCCUGAUGCAGCAACGCCGCGUGGGGGAUGACGGCCUUCGGGUUGUAAACUGCUUUCGCUAGGGACGAAGCGCAAGUGACGGUACCUGGAGAAGAAGCACCGGCUAACUACGUG